rnacentral:rRNA from 1 species
AGGGUUUGAUCAUGGCUCAGAUUGAACGCUGGCGGCAGGCUUAACACAUGCAAGUCGAGCGGAAACGAUGGGAGCUUGCUCCCAGGCGUCGAGCGGCGGACGGGUGAGUAACACUUAGGAAUCUACCUAGUAGUGGGGGAUAGCUCGGGGAAACUCGAAUUAAUACCGCAUACGUCCUACGGGAGAAAGGGGGCAACUUGUUGCUCUCGCUAUUAGAUGAGCCUAAGUCGGAUUAGCUAGUUGGUGGGGUAAAGGCCUACCAAGGCGACGAUCUGUAGCUGGUCUGAGAGGAUGAUCAGCCACACCGGGACUGAGACACGGCCCGGACUCCUACGGGAGGCAGCAGUGGGGAAUAUUGGACAAUGGGGGGAACCCUGAUCCAGCCAUGCCGCGUGUGUGAAGAAGGCCUUUUGGUUGUAAAGCACUUUAAGCAGUGAAGAAGACUCUUCGGUUAAUACCCGGGGACGAUGACAUUAGCUGCAGAAUAAGCACCGGCUAACUCUGUGCCAGCAGCCGCGGUAAUACAGAGGGUGCAAGCGUUAAUCGGAAUUACUGGGCGUAAAGCGAGCGUAGGUGGCUUGAUAAGUCAGAUGUGAAAUCCCCGGGCUUAACCUGGGAACUGCAUCUGAUACUGUUAGGCUAGAAUAGGUGAGAGGAAGGUAGAAUUCCAGGUGUAGCGGUGAUAUGCGUAGAGAUCUGGAGGAAUACCGAUGGCGAAGGCAGCCUUCUGGCAUCAUAUUGACACUGAGGUUCGAAAGCGUGGGUAGCAAACAGGAUUAGAUACCCUGGUAGUCCACGCCGUAAACGAUGUCUACUAGUCGUUGGGUCCCUUGAGGACUUAGUGACGCAGCUAACGCAAUAAGUAGACCGCCUGGGGAGUACGGCCGCAAGGUUAAAACUCAAAUGAAUUGACGGGGGCCCGCACAAGCGGUGGAGCAUGUGGUUUAAUUCGAUGCACGC